rnacentral:rRNA from 1 species
GCUGGAAAGCUUGGCGAUACAGGGUGAUAGCCCCGUAACCGACGCUUCAUCGAGCGUGAAAUCGAGUAGGGCGGGACACGUGAUAUCCUGUCUGAAUAUGGGGGGACCAUCCUCCAAGGCUAAAUACUCCUGACUGACCGAUAGUGAACCAGUACCGUGAGGGAAAGGCGAAAAGAACCCCUGUGAGGGGAGUGAAAUAGAACCUGAAACCGUGUACGUACAAGCAGUAGGAGCACCUUCGUGGUGUGACUGCGUACCUUUUGUAUAAUGGGUCAGCGACUUAUAUUCAGUGGCAAGGUUAACCGUAUAGGGGAGCCGUAGCGAAAGCGAGUCUUAACUGGGCGCUCAGUCUCUGGAUAUAGACCCGAAACCGGGUGAUCUAGCCAUGGGCAGGUUGAAGGUUGAGUAACAUCAACUGGAGGACCGAACCGACUAAUGUUGAAAAAUUAGCGGAUGACUUGUGGCUAGGGGUGAAAGGCCAAUCAAACUCGGAGAUAGCUGGUUCUCCCCGAAAGCUAUUUAGGUAGCGCCUCGGACGAAUACUACUGGGGGUAGAGCACUGUUAAGGCUAGGGGGUCAUCCCGACUUACCAACCCUUUGCAAACUCCGAAUACCAGUAAGUACUAUCCGGGAGACACACGGCGGGUGCUAACGUCCGUCGUGGAGAGGGAAACAACCCAGACCGCCAGCUAAGGUCCCAAAGUAUUGCUAAGUGGGAAACGAUGUGGGAAGGCUCAGACAGCUAGGAUGUUGGCUUAGAAGCAGCCAUCAUUUAAAGAAAGCGUAAUAGCUCACUAGUCGAGUCGGCCUGCGCGGAAGAUGUAACGGGGCUAAGCAAUACACCGAAGCUGCGGCAAUGUCUUUUAGAUAUUGGGUAGGGGAGCGUUCUGUAAGCCGUUGAAGGUGAAUCGUAAGGUUUGCUGGAGGUAUCAGAAGUGCGAAUGCUGACAUGAGUAACGACAAAGGGGGUGAAAAACCUCCUCGCCGGAAGACCAAGGGUUCCUGUCCAACGUUAAUCGGGGCAGGGUGAGUCGACCCCUAAGGUGAGGCCGAAAGGCGUAAUCGAUGGGAAACGGGUUAAUAUUCCCGUACUUCUGACUAUUGCGAUGGGGGGACGGAGAAGGCUAGGUGGGCCAGGCGACGGUUGUCCUGGUUCAAGUGCGUAGGCUUGAGAGUUAGGUAAAUCCGGCUCUCUCUAAGGCUGAGACACGACGUCGAGCUGCUACGGCAGUGAAGUCAUUGAUGCCAUGCUUCCAGGAAAAGCCUCUAAGCUUCAGAUAGUUAGGAAUCGUACCCCAAACCGACACAGGUGGUCGGGUAGAGAAUACCAAGGCGCUUGAGAGAACUCGGGUGAAGGAACUAGGCAAAAUGGUACCGUAACUUCGGGAGAAG